GUAGUUUUGGAAUAUAUCAUUGGGUGAAUAUACCAUGGUGUGAAUCCUGGGCUCUGUCUGCUAUCCAUCUGCAGCCCCACCACCAGUCUUGAAAACAGAAUGUGAUGAGAAGUCAACUCAAAAAUCAGGACUCAUAACAUCAAUCCAUGCCUUUGGGUUCCUAGAAGAGAAGUAACGUAGCAUUGAAGAUCGAAGAAGGUCACCAUAAGGAAAAAUUCCCAAAGCAAAAAACAAGCUUUGUGUACCACCAUUCCAUCCUGUGCAUCCGAGAAAGGAAGUCGAACAAUGAGAGCCA
rnacentral:lncRNA from 1 species